rnacentral:rRNA from 1 species
UAACAAGGAUUCCCCUAGUAACUGCGAGUGAAGCGGGAAAAGCUCAAAUUUAAAAUCUGGCAGCUUUGGUUGUCCGAGUUGUAGUCUGGAGAAGCGUUUUCUGUGCUGGACCGUGUACAAGUCUCUUGGAAUAGAGCGUCAUAGAGGGUGAGAAUCCCGUCUUUGACACGGACUGCCAGUGCUUUGUGAUGCGCUCUCAAAGAGUCGAGUUGUUUGGGAAUGCAGCUCAAAAUGGGUGGUAAAUUCCAUCUAAAGCUAAAUAUUGGCGAGAGACCGAUAGCGAACAAGUACCGUGAGGGAAAGAUGAAAAGCACUUUGGAAAGAGAGUUAAACAGUACGUGAAAUUGCUGAAAGGGAAACGAUUGAAGUCAGUCGCGUCUGUCAGAACUCAGCCUGGCUUUUGCCUGGUGCAUUUUCUGGUGGACGGGCCAGCAUCAAUUUCGACCGCUGGAUAAAGGCCUUGGGAAUGUGGCACCUUCGGGUGUGUUAUAGCCCUUGGUUGUAUACGGUGGUUGGGAUUGAGGAUCUCAGCAUGCCUUUAUGGUCGGGGUUCGCCCACGUUCAUGCUUAGGAUGCUGGCGUAAUGGCUUUAAACGAC